UAUCGGAACACUUGACUAACUCCAAGACUUCAGCAAAUAAUAAAAGACUUUGCUACCUCUAGCCUAAUCUAAUUAUACCCCUGGUGAGAUAUGAGGUAUAAAACGGGGUAGGCAGUCGACAUUUGGAUGAUUGAGGUUUUUGUCGUGCCUUUUGAAGCAGAUAUUCAAAGUGCAUCACCUUUGUACUUUUUACACACCUUUUUGCGUCGUCAUGCGAGCCACCAACUUAGUUGUCGUUUUGAUGCUUUCCUUUCUCGUCUUGGCCAGUCUACAUCCAAGUGAAGCCAUUAAUAAUGCGUUUGUGACCGCUAUCAAAAAACCGACAAAGAAAUCGCUUGAACGAAGGAUGCGGCAAUAUAAGGCCUCUUCACGCCUUGGGGUGGAAAACAUAUGCCAACUUGCGCGGACGCUUAACUGCUUCACCGAGAAUACUGUUGACUUCAGGGAUCCCUCUGAGCACAGAGAAGAGUGACCACCCCCGUGACAAGAUAGCGUGACAGAUUGAGAUUACUUGACAAAUCGUGAAGCCGCAUGUACAUGAGAUGAACAUUGUACAGAUGUGCCAUAUUUUUUUUAUUCUCUUUAAUUUCCAACCUACAAAUGUAUAUGUAUAUUCCAGCAUUAAUUAGUUUAAUCGUAAAAAGCUAUUGCCAUGUGCAUUUUUUCGCUAUGUAAAACUCCAAUAAUAUAUUGAACUGAGCUUUGUUCAUGUCCUUGACCGCUUCCACUCUACAGUCAAGUAACGGACAUCUUCAUUAGUCAAAGUCCAUGAAAGGCACGUCUCUGGCAGCUGCACGUGGGUAUGCAAUGGAGCGUCCUUUUUUUCGCUUUAGAACAAGACCAUUAAAAAAGCUUAUUAGA